CCUCUACUGCCAUCCUUCCCCUCUCUUCCCUAAAGGCGCAGCAGGGAGCAUCUUUUUCUUGAGCCGGCGGCAAGCUCCAUCCCAGAUCGGUGGCGCAUUACACCUUUGAAGCAUGUGUCCGGUUUUUCAAGACAUAUCUGGAGUCCUUGGGAGCGCCGUCGCCAGAUCCACUACGCCGAGCGCCCAGCUGGAGGUACGUGCAGACAACGGAUCGGUUUCAAUUGGGGCCUCUCGGUUGGGAAGGGGUCAGGGCAUGCAUCCCUUCGAGGGGCUCGAAUGGGUGUAAGACAGGUUCGUUCAUGUGCAAUCACC
rnacentral:lncRNA from 1 species